UCCCAGUAAGUAUAGUGGCUAGUAUCACCCCCUGUCACAGGGUAGGCCUGGGUUCAAUUACCUGACUGGGAG